rnacentral:misc_RNA from 1 species
AGCACAUCUAUAGUUUGAGUUUGAGGUCUUCAUAAAAGACGAGUAGCAUUCCAGAUCAUUUAUGGCACUUGAUGUCAGUCCAAAAACUAGAAAUUUCUGGACAGUUUCUCCAGAGCAUCCAUAACCAGAGCAACUCUCAAAAUUUAAGUGGUAAGCUCAAUGUUUCAUGAUAUGUGUUCCCAGAACCAUGACAAUGAUAUCUGUGGUAUCUGCAAUUCAUUUUUUUUCAUUUAUUUUUGUUUUUAUUCAGUGGUCACCAACUAUACCUCAAAU